rnacentral:rRNA from 1 species
ACUCAAAUGAAUAGACGGGGACCCGCACAAGCGGUGGAGCGUGUGGUUUAAUUCGACGAUAAGCGAAGAACCUUACCAAGACUUGACAUCCCAGGGAUCCCCCAGAAACGGGGGAGUGCCGCAAGGAGCCUGGUGACAGGUGUUGCAUGGCCGUCGUCAGCUCGUGUCGUGAGAUGUUGGGUUAAGUCCCGCAACGAGCGCAACCCUUGUCGUAUGUUGUAUUUUUCAUACGAGACUGCCUCGGUCAACGAGGAGGAAGGUGGGGACGACGUCAGGUCAGCAUGACCCUUAUGUCUUGGGCCACACACGCGCUACAAUGGCCGGUACAAUGGGUCGCGAAAUCGUAAGAUGGAGCUAAUCCCACCAAAGCCGGUCUCAGUUCGGAUUGAGGGCUGCAACUCGCCCUCAUGAAGCCGGAAUCGCUAGUAAACGCAGAUCAGCCAUGCUGCGUUGAAUACGUUCUCGGGUCUUGUACACACCGCCCGU